AUGCCGGUGGACCUCCAAGAUCCAUCCAUGGCGGACGCCUCGACGCUCCACAUCGCCUACCUGGCCGCCACCGUCGACGUGCUCUUCGCGGGCAGCCUCCUUCGCUUCGUAGCCGUCCGCGCCAGCGAGGCCUGCCUCACCGCCCGACGCCUCUUCGCCGAAGCCGCCGGAGCAUUGGAGGCGAGCUACAGCCCCGCGGGCUGGAUAUGCAGUCCAUCGCCGCCGCAAAAGUUGCUGGCCCAGAUGGGGAGGGACUGGAUUGCGCACGGCGGCUCAGGACCAGGGCAUGGCGGCUCAGGGCGUCCGCGCCAUGGACAGAGGGCGGUGGGCGGGCUUCCGGCGGCGGCGGGGGCGGCAUGGUCGGCUGCGAGGGCGCCCGGCGGUUGCCUCCUCCCGAUUGGAUCGGGAGCAGGAUAUCGGGAGGAGGGGUUGAUUGCUUGCUAUUUUAAGAUCCAGGGGUGUGUACGUAAUAUUUUUGCUAAGACACCUCCUUACAAUCUGGCCCCACUUGUCAGAAAAUGA
rnacentral:rRNA from 1 species